GGCACUUUGGCCGAGUGGUUAAGGCGAUCGCUUGCUACUAUUUAAGGUAGCGGUUGGGUUUACCCGCGUGAGUUCGAACCUCACAGGUGUCG
rfam:Naematelia encephala strain 68-887.2 BCR39scaffold_24, whole genome shotgun sequence.